AUUGAACGCUGGCGGCAUGCUUUACACAUGCAAGUCGAACGGCAGCACGGGAGCUUGCUCCUGGUGGCGAGUGGCGAACGGGUGAGUAAUGCAUCGGAACGUACCCAGUAGUGGGGGAUAGCCCGGCGAAAGCCGGAUUAAUACCGCAUAUUUCCUGAGGGAGAAAGCGGGGGGACCUUCGGGCCUCGCGCUACUGGAGCGGCUGAUGUCGGAUUAGCUAGUUGGUGAGGUAAAGGCUCACCAAGGCGACGAUCCGUAGCUGGUCUGAGAGGAUGAUCAGCCACACUGGGACUGAGACACGGCCCAGACUCCUACGGGAGGCAGCAGGUGGGGAAUUUGGACAAUGGGGGCAACCCUGAUCCAGCCAUGCCGCGUGAGUGAAGAAGGCCU
rnacentral:rRNA from 1 species